UUAAUCGAAAGUUCUCUCUAGUUAUCGGGAGAGGUAAUUAAUUAUAGGGGCUUGCACCUAUGGGAAAUCAGAACUCAAAUCAUAAAUACCUUGUAAAAUGAGGACGAAAUUUUUGGGUAGUUAAUAUGCCCUUUCAAAAUUUGCCUCGGAAUAUGCUUGAAGUUCGAAAGGCUUUCAAGAAAAUGAAGUGUGGAAAAGCAUUGUGUCCUAUUGAUAUUUCAAUUGAGAUGUGGAAAUGCCUAAGAGAUCAAGGAAUUUUUGAGAUGACUAAGUUUUUUAAUAUUAUUUUGAUGAAUAAAAAGUUGCCAGAUAAAUGGAGGAAGAGUGUGUUGGUUCUUAAUUUUAAGUAUAAAGGUGGUGCCCAAGAGUAUGUGAAUUAUAGAUGAAUUAAGCUAAUGUGUCACAUUAAAAUUAUGGGAGAGAGCACGACUUCGUUUGAGAUGGCUUUUUACUGCUCCUUAAAGCAGUUUUUUUGAGCAUGGCUUAUUACAUGAUACCAAUAUUUCUCAAAAGUAAUUUGGAUUCAUGCUGGGUAGGUAUACUAUGGAAGCUAUACAUUUGUUAAGAUGUUUGAUGGAGAUGUAUAUUGAGAGCAAGGAGGAUAUACUUAUUAUAUUUAUUGAUAAAAAAUUUUUAUGUAUGAUUUAAGAUGCUUUUCUUCGUCAUCUUUCUACUACUUGGUAUCCUCACCUCAACAUUUCUCACCCAAAUUUUAUGAGAUCUCAGCAAAUAUUCUUAUCCAAUGGCGAUGGAAUAGCUUGGAUGGCCCGUGCAUCUAUGGGCAACCACGUCCUUAUUACUCUGGUAGGGAAUUGAUGGUUGGAUCUGCUUGUUGAUUGAACAAAGGUCUACCUCUGCCUUUAUUAACUUAAGUCAAAUAUAAUACCUUAACUUUCCUAACCGGGUCAUCGGAAGGCAUCCGUUUAAUGAUGUGAAAAAAAAAAAGUUAUGGCGGUAACAGGGAAGUUAACCCUAGCUCUUGAAGCAAAUCCAAUGGCAAUAGUUAAGUAGAUUACUUAGCAUGAGUGACCCUUGCCGUUUUAGUUUAUCCCUGGAAUUUGCUUACAAUGUUCUUCGAGGCACAGUCUCUGCCUUUGCUCCUAAA